GGCGAGGGGCAGCAUAAAUACUUGUAUUUGAUGGCGAACGGCGAACGGGUGCGUAACGCGUAUGCAACUUACCUUUUACUAGAGAAUAGCCAAGAGAAAUUUGAUUAAUGCUCUAUGUUCUUAUUUACUCGCAUGAGUAAAUAAGCAAAGCUCCGGCGGUAAAAGAUGGGCAUGCGUCCUAUUAGCUUGUAGGUGAGGUAAUGGCUCACCUAAGCUCCGAUAGGUAGGGGUCCUGAGAGGGAGAUCCCCCACACUGGUACUGAGACACGGACCAGACUUCUACGGAAGGCAGCAGUAAGGAAUAUUGGACAAUGGAGGCAACUCUGAUCCAGCCAUGCCGCGUGAAGGAAGACGGCCUUAUGGGUUGUAAACUUCUUUUAUACAGGAAGAAACCUUUCCACGUGUGGAAAGUUGACGGUACUGUAAGAAUAAGGAUCGGCUAACUCCGUGCCAGCAGCCGCGGUAAUACGGAGGAUCCAAGCGUUA
rnacentral:rRNA from 1 species